rnacentral:rRNA from 1 species
GAUGAACGCUGGCGGCGUGCCUAAUACAUGCAAGUCGAGCGAACGGACGAGAAGCUUGCUUCUCUGAUGUUAGCGGCGGACGGGUGAGUAACACGUGGAUAACCUACCUAUAAGACUGGGAUAACUUCGGGAAACCGGAGCUAAUACCGGAUAAUAUUUUGAACCGCAUGGUUCAAAAGUGAAAGACGGUCUUGCUGUCACUUAUAGAUGGAUCCGCGCUGCAUUAGCUAGUUGGUAAGGUAACGGCUUACCAAGGCAACGAUGCAUAGCCGACCUGAGAGGGUGAGAGGCAACACGGGAGAUGAGAGACGGUAGAGACUACUGCGGGAGGCAGCAGGAGGGGUUCGUCAGCAAUGUGCGAGAGCCGAACGGAGCAAUGACGAGUGAGUAAUGAAGGGUUUCGGAUCGUACAACUCUGUGAUUAGGGAAAAACAGAUGUGUAAGUCAAUGUACACAUCGUCACGGUACCUAAUCAGAAAGCCACGGCUAACUACGUG